AGGACGAACGCUGGCGGCGUGCUUAACACAUGCAAGUCGAACGAGGCCCUACCUUCGGGUAGGUGACCUAGUGGCGAACGGGUGAGUAACACGUGGGCAACCUACCCUCAGCUCUGGGAUAACCCCGGGAAACCGGAGCUAAUACCGGAUAUGACCUUGAACGACAUCGUUCUUGGUGGAAAGUUUUUUCGGCUGAGGAUGGGCCCGCGGCCUAUCAGCUUGUUGGCGGGGUAAUGGCCCACCAAGGCGACGACGGGUAGCCGGCCUGAGAGGGCGAUCGGCCACACUGGGACUGAGACACGGCCCAGACUCCUACGGGAGGCAGCAGUGGGGAAUAUUGCGCAAUGGGCGAAAGCCUGACGCAGCGACGCCGCGUGAGGGAUGAAGGCCUUCGGGUUGUAAACCUCUUUCAGCAGGGACGAAGCGAAAGUGACGGUACUGCAGAAGAAGCACCGGCCAACUACGCGCCAGCAGCCGAC
rnacentral:rRNA from 1 species